rnacentral:rRNA from 1 species
UACGUAGGGUGCAAGCGUUAAUCGGAAUUACUGGGCGUAAAGCGUGCGCAGGCGGUUUUGUAAGUCUGACGUGAAAGCCCCGGGCUCAACCUGGGAAUUGCGAUGGAGACUGCAAGGCUUGAAUCUGGCAGAGGGGGGUAGAAUUCCACGUGUAGCAGUGAAAUGCGUAGAGAUGUGGAGGAACACCGAUGGCGAAGGCAGCCCCCUGGGUCAAGAUUGACGCUCAUGCACGAAAGAGUGGGGAGCAAACAGG